rnacentral:lncRNA from 1 species
GCAUAUUUUAUUAGGCAUCAGCACAAAGUACAAAAGACAGUAGUAAAGAAGAAAAGGAAGCUAAAAUUGUUUAUUAUACAAUCCAGUCCAAUACUACAUAGAAAAUAUUUACUUAUUAUCAUUCACGAGAAUAUUGCUCAUAUUUUUAGUUAUAUAAAGAGUCUAAUAAGCCAUAGCAGCAUACGUGCUCUUAUGAAUUUUGAUUAUUUAUAUAAUCAGUUCUCCAUCGAGAAACUGUGCCUCGUAAUCUUCUCCUCUGCUGCAGAAACUGCUUUGACCUGAUAAAGAGGAGUCUGCUCUGGUAGAUACUGGUAGAGACGAGCUUGUGGAACAUGGUGUUUUUGUUGAGUAGAACUUGAAGCCCUCCUCCUUUUCCCGAAAUACUCAUCCACUAAUGCAAACCCAUCCCUGCCAAUUUUAAUAAGGUCGGCCUUAGAUGCCAUUUUCUAGAGAAAUAAUGUUAUAGAGAAAGAUCUGUUGUUAUUGAUGCAAAAGCAAUUGGGUGAAAUCCCUUUAUAUAGAAAGCCUGAUGGAAGUGGAGAGUUAAUUAAAGUUAUAAGGUGGCCUUUAGCUUCACAACUUGUGGAGAUUCUUUUCAGAUAUUUAUUAAUCUCUUUGGAAAGUAGAAACCAAAUGGAAUAUCAAGAAUCUUAACCUUUGCAGUUUACCCAUCCUUGCUACAUAUAAAUAUCAUAGAUACAGUUAAUAGUUAAAGAUUUGUCCAUGGGUCUCCAUUGAAAGCUUCUAUAGUAGAACUCAAUCGAGAAGGCCUGGGGUCUUAAAAAUGGUUCAGGGAGGGGAAUAAAUUGAAAAUGCCAUCUCUAUGGACCAUUCUUUGCUAUCUAUUUUUUACUCCUAUAUUCAUAUGUAGAAUGAAAAUUUUCCCCUGGCUCUUUCAAUUUCUGGGAAAGCGAACACUGGAGAUGGAUUGAACCAUCGGGUGGGCUGGAAGCCGUGCUAGUUUCUUCGUGCUGUCUGGACUACCCUUCCCUGUCAGAUCAAGAAACUUAACCUUUGCAGUUUAGCCGUCUUUGCUACAGAUAAAUAUCAUAAAUAGAGUUAUUAACAAUUAUAUGGGUUCUGAGUGUGUGCAAAUUGUAAGGUGAAAAACAAUGUUUGAUGUUUCGACAUGUUCCCCUUAAUAGGUUCUUAUUUCAACGACAAUCAACAAAACUAGAAAUGGAUGUGUACUUAUAAUUGCUCGUAAAAAUAAAUAAGGUCUCGCCACUACUAACAUGUAAAAUAUUUCACGUACUCCAGGGAAUUACUGGAGCUGCCUCCUCUCUCCACAAUCGAUACCUAAAGCAAAGCGUUGAAAGAGCAGAGGAAGGGGUGGACUAAAAAAUCUUUUGGACUAGGUCACAUAAAUUAUUUUUUCACAUAUUAAAAAUAAUUUUUUAUUAUGAAUGGACUAGAACCUGAAUCGAAGGAGAAUAGAAUAUUCCUCUGUGUUAAUAUAAAUGGGAGGUCUUUGGGGUGGCAAGAUAAUAGAGUCCGUGGUUAGAAAUAAGCAGACGGCGGAAUACUUAUGAUUCCGACAAAAAAUUUCUUCUCUUCUUUUUCGUGCUUUGGGACACAUGGAACAAAAGAUUUUAGAUCAAUAAGUCAAAUAAACUCCUUUCUUGCAAGGAAUAAAUAUAUGGCUACAUGGUGUAGUUUAUCAUUGGUUGGCUUCUAGUCAAAUUUCCAUUGCAAAACAAUACACAUGAUUUGAAUAAAACUGGCUUGCGCCAAAUGAAAUAUGAUUCUAUUCGGAACUUUCUAUGUUUCUUUAAUGAGUGGUAGUUAUUAACUAAAUAAACUAAACAUUUUAGAAUCAAAUAUUCCAAGGUGUUGUAUGAAUCUGAUCCCUUUUGUUGAAUUUUAUGUAUUCUUUAUUAUCUUUUUAACAUCUCAUCGCUUAGUGAUACUUGUUCUUCACAUACUAAUCAGUGAUAACAUGAAUUAAAAAGAAUGCUUCUACUUAUAUGAUUAUAAACAAUUAUUAAAAUAGGAAUAACAACAUAGCAGAGUGGGACUAUGGUGGCCCUCCCACCCUAUUUCCUGUUUAUUGGUUUUUAUUAUUUUUAUUAUUAAACAUUAUUUUGAUAUCAACUAAAUUUUCCCAAACCUUGCUCUGUUUCAAUUAAACUAUAUAUAUAUAUUUUUAUUUAUAUAGGCAAGGCCUCUAGUUGGGGACCAUGUUUUCCAUUUCCUUUCCCGACCUGGGCAAAAAACCUUUCCCUAGCCCUACGCCGCCUCGCCCCGCCCUGCCCCACUUCCACUAACCCGAUUAAGCAAGGAAUCGCCACCCAGUUCGGGGCGGGAUAGGCUCGGGGCAUUUUGCUAUCUUUAAUAUAUAGGAAACAAUCUAUGCUAGUUAUACAAUCACACUAUUAUGAAAAUUAUCAUAUAAUAUCUGAUAAACGUCAUGGAGAAAAUUACACGAGUCUUUCCAUAUUUUUAAAAUACUUAUGUGCUCAAAUCUUGUAUUCUAUAUUUCUGCUUUCCCUUUGGUUGCAGACAUCGGAGGGAUGCCUUGUUGAUGCCUAAAAACAUUAAAUGGAUCUAUCAAUGUCUUUGCCUAAAAACAUUCUUUCCAUUUUUGGCAUUGUCUUCCUCUUUCCAUUCGACUAGAUACUGUAUUGUGUAAAGGUUACCUUUUCUAUGAGGGAAAAAGAAACACUUCUCCUCCCAAACCUUGGCCUCUUCCACAGCAUCAUCAGAAGGGGCACUGCUAUUUAAUAGGUACAUAACUCCGAGAUCAAAGUCAAUGUAGUUUAUAUAAGCAGCCCUCAGACCCAAUGAUAUAUAGGGUGCCAUUGAAUUGUAAAAUCCUCGUAUCCAGUCUACAUAAUUCUUUCCAUUUUUGGCAUUGUCUUCCUCUUUCCAUUCGACUAGAUACUGUAUUGUGUAAAGGUUACCUUUUCUAUGAGGGAAGGCAAUGGAAUCACUACUAAUUUUUUCCAUAAUUCCACCAUAAGGGUCUAAAAUGACAUACCCUUUCGGCUCUUUGUCAAGAAUGUUUAUGGCUGAAGUUAUACCAAUUCUUGAAAUCGGAGUCUUCACAUAAUCCGAUU